GCAACAGAUUCAACAUCAGUCAUUGAAAAAAGUUGUUUUAAAAAUUAAAUCCGAAUUUCGAAAGCAACAGAGCGAACAAUCAAUACCGUUAAUUAGAAUAUGGUACGUGUUAAAAAAGCAAAUAUUAAAUUAAUUACAUAACGAAUGGCAGAAUAAUAAAUAACAGACUUUUUUUAAGGUCAAUGUCCGAAUAAAGAAGGCGGGAACUUCAAAUACAUAAAUAGGGUUCUCCAGCAAAGCAUCUUUUUAUAACAUUAAAACAAGAAAUGAGCUAAAAGUGGACGUAAUCCAAAGCAUGCCUGGAAGUACAGAGGACGCAAGCUAAGGAACUUGCGACGUGACUCAUAUGUUGUACAGACAUUGAUUGUUCCGUACCAGGCCCCACAACUAGAUUACAUUCACAUCUUACUUCGAAGAACGUAAUGUAUAUCGAAAAAACAAAUUUAAGAGCAGUCUUAGUAAUUAAUAACACAUCUCGUAUUAAGAAAAAAACAGAGCAGUAGACUUGUAAUUUUAGUCAG